GUAGUCUGCAACUCGACUACAUGAAGCUGGAAUCGCUAGUAAUCGCGAAUCAGCAUGUCGCGGUGAAUACGUUCCCGGGUCUUGUACACACCGCCCGUCACACCAUGGGAGUCGGGAAUGCCCGAAGCCGGUGACCCAACCUUAGGGAGGGAGCCGUCGAAGGCAGAUUCGAUAACUGGGGUGAAGUCGUAACAAGGUACC
rnacentral:rRNA from 1 species